rnacentral:lncRNA from 1 species
AAAAAUUUGGGCAUUCCUGCCUCUCAACCGUUGCAAGUCUGAAACCAUCCUCUGCCGUUCCAAAACCCAGGCCUCCGCCCAUCCCAUUUCGCUUCACACAGAGGGGAAGAAGGCUUCAUUGAUGCCGACGUCGAGGUAAGAUCCCCAUCUUUCUUUAUGUUUUUCGUAUAUAAAAUAAGAACAAAUCGAAGAAGACAACAAAGAAAAAAUAAAAUCAAAAUCAAACGAAGUCGGAGAAUUACCUAAACGAUUUAUUCUUUCUUGUUUUUGAAAUUUUUUUGUAUUUUUGUCUUAUAAAUCUUCGUAACCCCUUACAAAUUCUGUUUAAUGGCAUUAUAUAGCCGAAGAAUGACAGAAUGAAAAUCAAAAGAAAAUUACAGAAAAAUCUUGCACUAUUUACUGCAUUUUCUUGCUAUCCUUUGCUGUUGUUUUGUUUGCUUCUAUUUAUUGCAGGUACGGAGGCCAGCUGGAGUGUACGGAGGCUCGUGUGGAUUUGGCGCAGAGGCGCUACACGCGUGCGGACGUAACAUGCACGAGGAGGAGGCCUGGCUCUGCUGCAGCGGUGGAGGCUGAAUGCUGCUAGGGUUUGCUGAUUUCUGGUUUAGGCUAGUUGGGCUAGGGUAUUGGGCUUAGGCUAAUUGGGUUUAGGCUAGUUGGGUUUCUGUAACUUGGGUCUGGU